rnacentral:rRNA from 1 species
UUCGUAGGCGGUGCGGCAAGUUGGGAGUGAAAUCUCUGGGCUUAACUCAGAGGCUGCUUUCAAAACUGCCGUGCUCGAGUGCGAGAGAGGUCAGUGGAAUUGCAGGUGUAGCGGUGAAAUGCGUAGAUAUCUGCAGGAACACCCGUGGCGAAGGCGGCUGACUGGAUCGCAACUGACGCUGAGGAACGAAAGCUAGGGGAGCAAACAGGAUUAGAUACCCUGGUAGUCCUAGCCCUAAACCAUCAGGACUUGGGGUGGCCCGCGUAGGCGGGUCGUCCCGUAGCUAACGCGUUAAGUCCUGCGCCUGGGGAGUACGGUCGCAAGACUGAA